UACGGGAGUGGCAAGCGUUAUCCGGAAUUAUUGGGCGUAAAGCGUCCGCAGGCGGCCCUUCAAGUCUGCUGUUAAAGCGUGGAGCUUAACUCCAUUUCGGCAGUGGAAACUGACAGACUAGAGUGUGGUAGGGGCAGAGGGAAUUCCCGGUGUAGCGGUGAAAUGCGUAGAUAUCGGGAAGAACACCAGUGGCGAAGGCGCUCUGCUGGGCCAUCACUGACGCUCAUGGACGAAAGCCAGGGGAGCGAAAGGG
rnacentral:rRNA from 1 species